ensembl:lncRNA
GGGGGGAAGCAGAGAGCUCCCGUCCUGUGCUUUUAUCUAUCGCAGCAGGCUGUUCUCUCCAUCGACGUCCGCAUUCACAUACACAUUCAAAUGUGGACGGAGCGCGGUGGGUUCCUGCAUCCUGAGGACGUCUCUUACGUCUCCUGGUGUCUCCGUCGGAGCGGCGUUUGCGACGCCGCUUCUCUCCUACGGCCAGUUGCGCGGUAGCUGGUCUCCAACGCACCAGCAAGAAGACGGCCGAUGGUCCCCAAAGCAUGCGUCAUAAUGUAUUAGGGCAGAAUUUGAAACUAGCCUUUCAUGGGCACUGACGUCUGAGGCCUCCCAGAGACCACAAGCAGAUCCAUCCGUCUUGUGAUGGAGAGCGCGCUGAUGACACCACCCUCCUGGAAUGUGGAGACAAAGCCGGAGCAGUUGCACAAGCGGGGGGAAGACACAGGACCGUAAAUCAGGACGGGAGGCUGAACCACCAGAGGAGGUUCUCCAGAUCUAACCUCCUUCACACUUGUCAGACAUCUGGAAAGAGUUAUUUUUUCCCGUUACGGUAUCAAAGGUUUCGACCCUCCUAAAAACCACGGAAAUGCAACGACCACGAAUUGAACUUCUCUCCAUGUUUGUUAAUGAAUGUGCUGUUUUAGGAAGCUUUUCGCCUGAUGUGUAUAGACUGUGAGGAAUGUGCUAAUGCAGUGAGAUCUUCAUCAGAACGGGUCCAAAACAAAGAUUAAUCGACUCCACUGCGUACUGUUGACUUUCUUUAAAAGGGUUUUAUCUGUUUGGAACCAUGGAACUGAGCUCCUUGGGUUACCGCUCCUGCUGGUGUACAGUGGAGAGGCAUUUCUCCAGGAAAAGAAAAGCUAUUGUCCUCUUGGAUGGAGGAGGUGGAACCUUCAUUGUCUUGCGUUUGGGGUGAGGGCAUCAAGCUGUGGUAAGAGGAAAGAACAGAGGAAAAAAAGAGUUUAGUUUAGGUUCUCAGGGUGGCCAAGUCGCCCCCAAAAACAACAACAACACAGAAAAAUAAGAUUUUACUGAAUCAG